ensembl:lncRNA
UAUAUAUAUAUAUAUAUAUAUAUAUAUAUAUAUAUAUAUAUAUAUAUAUAAACACUUGCUUUUUUUCUUUUGUUUAAUGUCUUAUUUAUUAAUUCACUUUUUUACAUUGUCAGUUUUUGUUUAUUCGUUCAUUUUUCACCCAGCCAUUCCUCUUAUGACCUGCAAACCACCUUGAAACCGGGCAGAAGCCCUCAUCUAUCGCUGUAUUUUCAGUGAUUUUCCCCUCGAGGUGCAUGGGUCAGUACGGCGAGCGUCCUCUGGUGGUCAAACGCAGCACUGUCUGUCUUGAAGUGAAGGGUGACUCCGCGCACUGUAAUCGGAAGUUCCCCUCCAAAACCUUUAGGAAACAACCCUGUCCGAUCUGCACCAAACCUCAUAAUCCUAAAUCCUGGGAAAGUUUUUCAGAGAGUGAGGAGGAGCUGCAUCAGCUGUCAUGGAUGCACAAACAGGAACUGAAGGAUUCACUGGUUGAUAUGUACAAAGAAGACAUGUGUGACCUAUUAAGGUUUUCCUAACCAAAGUGGUUCCCAAAAAAUAACCAACCAGGAAACACGAGGGAAACAUUCUGCUUUUGCCUGGUUCAGUCCGACCCUUUCUCGAAGACGUUCUGCAUUUAUUUGGUUUGUAAAUGUGACACCACAAAGCACCUACAGUUGACAGAACUGAAAUGGUAAGUGUUUACACUUUUAAGCCCCCAGUGUGUAUUGUGUUAAGAAGUUCUUGUCUCAGAAGCUCCACCACUAGAGGGAAGCUCUUCACCACGGCUCCUACCGCCAGCGAUCAACAGGCUCUGCUGUCUGAAUGUCAGCGUUCCUGCUAAUUGCCUCCUGUCUGUUUGUUGCUUGCUUAUGAAUUAGCUUCCGUUCACAGAACUAAAU